UUCCCUUCCCUUCCCUUCCCUUUAGUCCAGUUUGAUUCAUUUAGUAAUUUAGUUUUUAAAUUACUUUUACUUUUUACUCAAGUGAUUGUGCUGGACAGAAGAAAAAUCAAGUCUCGGAGUGGAAAAUGAUCACCUGAGUUACAGGAGGACCUGCAGGGAUCACAAGGAUUUGGAGAAACAUCAUCCUCCCUUGGAGCUGAGCUUUUGCUCUGCUGCAGCCUGAGAGUACUUUGAUCAGAGAUACAACAGCAAAGCUGCAAUUUAUUAUUGUUCAUUGUCACCUCCAGCCACAAUUAACAUUUCCCCUUCUCAUUAGAGGUUUUUUCCUCUGUCCCUUUUCUGUUUCACUUUUUUUUUUUCUUUUUUAAGAGAAUAGCAGAAGUCAUAGCAAAGGUGACAGCUUGUGUCUAUGGCUUGGAGUGCACUAUGGGCGUAACACCAUAACUUCCUUGAAAGCAGACAGAUGCUGUAAACCCCUGCCUCCUUCCCCUCCUACCAAGUGUCCCACCAGGAAACCUCCUCCCAAAACUCACAUCUGCAUCCAUGACCAGAAGCAGAUGCAGCUGGCAAACUGCAGACCCACAGACCUGGCAGCAUCCUUCCCCAAGCAAGCUAAAGAACAAAAAGAAAGGCCGUGCAAGAGGCAAACUUGCAGACCUUGCAGGAGACCACUUUACCAGUGGGGACACCAACACAGAGAGCAUUUCAUGUUUCUCCAACAAGUGCAUGAAAUUACAGAACCUGGAUGAAGAUCCCAGAUCUCUUAAAUCAAAGUCCAUCACUCCAGCCACAAGCAGAGCUACAUCUAACAUUGAAGAGGCAUGUGGAGCUCUCUUCAGUUAGCUACAUUGCCAAAAGCACAACUGUUCUCCCAUAAAACAGAUGCUUUCCAUAGUGCACAUCAUCAUGGGAGAUGUUGUUUGCUGAAGCAGCGAGUCCACUGAGCACCAUGAGGACCCUUUUCCAGUUGGAGCAGCCAGCUUUUGGCACUUCACAGUACAGAACCUUGUGCCUGUCCUCUACGUAAAUUCUUGACACCAGGUGCACCAGCAUGGACAUCUGGUCUUGAGAAUUAGUGAAAAUUCACUUGCUGACUGAGGAAGGAAGUGACAUCAAUGAGUUUCUAAAGUCAGCCCUGAGGGAAAAGUGUGCUCUGCCAGAGUAGCCUUUCAUGCCAUUGUAUUUCCAGUGAUGCCUCAAGAUGCAAAUUGCAUUAUCAAUCAAACUUGUGGUUUCUACCUCAGACAAAUAUAAAAAAAAAAAGAAGAGAAAGACUGGGAAAGACCUGUGCAGCCAUUCCCGACACUGCUAAGAAAAAGGUGAAGAAGAAUUUAUGGUAAUUCUUUCCUUUUUCUCUCUUUUCUCUUCUCUGUGAUUUAAAUGUACAGUAUCAAGGAAGAGGCAUUUGCUGAAGUGACUGUGUGAUACAACAGCAAUGAUGACAUGGGUUAAACAGGACAGAGAUUGACUGUUGGGCUGUUAAGGAUAGAAGAGAGAUCAAAUUCAAGGUCACCACUAAAUUGAAUACUGAGUUCUCCAUUUAUUCGCUAGAUGAUCCUUGUCCUCAUCACAGAACAACUAUGUGCAUUUGGCAGAGUCAGCACUUGUGCUCAGAAGGGACCAAGGUCUGUAAUAACAGACAGACUACAAAUCAGGGUGGAAAUAUAUUGGCACCAUUACAUGGGGAAACCUGCACAGUCCUGGUGUGUAUUGUAUUAUUGUUUUAGAAGAAACACCACAAAAAGCAGUGAAAAAACAUGACACCUACAGUGCUGAAAAGGGGUUCAGUUUCUAUCUUCCAGAGGCUAACUGUAGGGCAGGACAAGGCCAUUGAAAGUGGGCAGAAUUUUGUUUGUCCUUUUGUCCUGCUUUGGUUUUUAUUAAUUUGCCUUUUUUCCUUAAAUUCACAGAAUUAUCUUACAAUGACUAGUCACUAAUUUGUUUUAGUUUUGGCAUUCUCAAUUUUGAGGAGGAUGUUCCUGUGUUGAUGCCUUGUCAUCAUUUGUGAUGACCAUCAACCCAUCAACAUUCAUCAGCAGGACUCAAAAAACACCACUGGAGAGAGUACUCCUAACUCAAAGGGCAUGAAGCAAUGGGACACUGACAAAACCAGAACUGUCAGAACACGUCAGCCAGUCCUACAGGCAGCACCUGCAUCAGUCUCAUGAAAUGCAGAGAAUACUUGACACUUACAAGAAGAUCCAUUUCUGGUAGAUGUACACAUGCUAAAUUUAAAAUUUCUGACAGUUUCUCCCAAGCCACUGCAAUGAGGCAGCAGCUUAUGCAACAACAUCAAACCAACUGGGAAAUUUUCUGCCAUCUGAAAACUCUAAUGGGAGCUGCCCAGCAGGUAGCCAGAGCAGUCCCAGAGCAUACCUUCUGCAACUCAGACUGUUUGUGAGCAGCUUGCUCUUCUCCUAUAUUUUUCUGAAACUUCAUUUUUCUACCUGUCGUCUUGCAAACUGUUCCUAAAUGGGCUCAACAGUGCCACCUGAGCUAAAAACCACCAGCAAAUCCAAAGGCCUUAAUCGUAGACAAAUAACUGAUACUUUGUGUUUCAAAGGUUGUAUUUACCAGUAUGAACUAUGAUUCUUGUUUGCUGACACUGUGCUUUCCUACCAUGCUAAUUGAGGCCAAGCUGCUGCAGCUGGAUUCCAGUGAUGUUUUCUUGCAUCAGGACUGGAGAAACAUACCUCUCCCAAUUAAUUUUUAGUGAUUUUGUUUUGUCUCUCUAGUUGCAAAAAGUGUAAUGGGUGGUGACUGGUUGAGAUAAAUGGCCUUCUUGGGUUGACCUCAAGCUAUAUCACUUUAGAAAAAAAAUUACAACAACAUUGUUUAAAAGAAUUCUCUGUAUGUUCAUACACUAAUUAGUAUACUAAUUCCUGUUUUCAGGGCAAGUUGGUUUUUUCAAUUUUUUUUUGUUUUGGUUGAUUGUCCAUGAUUAAAAGAUUACCUUACUGAGAGGAAUAAUGUAUGUUUUCCAAUGUAACUGACAGCUGCAAGACAUGAGAGUGUGCCAUCAGUGUGCCUCUGCUGCUGCCAUGAGAAAUGGCAAUAACAACUCCUCAGCCUCAUGCACACAGCCUACACAGAGAACAACACAUAAUUAUGCACUCUAUGCCCUGCUUACCUCCAUACAAAGGAAUGGCAUAUUUGUGCAGGUUUACAGAUUAAUCUGCUGUAAUUCCCUUUAAUGUUAAACUACUUCCAGCUCAAAUAUAAUUAAGAUCACCAGGUACAAAAGAUUCAGAUUGGAAAUAUGAGUACAAUCCAACAGAACAAAUAACAGCUUGAUGCUGUUCUUUAUGUUCAAAUAGUUGGAUACAUUAAGGAUUUUGACAGCAUGUUUGUUCUGUAAGUAUGUAGAUGAAAAAACAAAGGUUUCAUUUCAAAAGGCAAGACAUUAUUACUGCAUUUAAUUAGAGAGAAAAAUCCCUUAAGUAUACAGAUCUGCCAAUUUAUGUGACGUGACUGCUGUAAGACCUAGCAACAACGGAUUUUUUUUUUCCUUCCAAAAAUCAAAUCCAAAUUUAUAUGUACUUCAAGCAACCAUCAUAAAUGUCAAAAUAAAAG